UAGUCCACGCCGUAAACGAUGAUCACUCGCUGUAAGCGAUACACAGUCUGUGGCUAAGCGAAAGUUUUAAGUGAUCCACCUGGGGAGUACGAUCGCAAGAUUGAAACUCAAAGGAAUUGACGGGGGCCCGCACAAGCGGAGGAACAUGUGGUUUAAUUCGAUGAUACGCGAGGAACCUUACCUGGACUUAAAUGUAGAUUGCAUAGCUUAGAGAUAGGCUUUUCUUCGGACUAUUUACAAGGUGCUACAUGGUUGUCGUCAGCUCGUGCCGUGAGGUGUCGGGUUAAGUCCCGUAACGAGCGCAACCCCUAUCCUUAGUUGCCAGCGCGUAAUGGCGGGGACUCUAGGGAGACUGCCGGUGACAAACCGGAGGAAGGUGGGGACGACGUCAAGUCAUCAUGGCCCUUAUGGGCUGGGCUACACACGUGCUACAAUGGGCGGUACAGAGGGCCGCGGUGAAUACGUUCCCGGGCCUUGUACACACCGCCCGU
rnacentral:rRNA from 1 species